rnacentral:rRNA from 1 species
UGGGGAAUUUUGGACAAUGGGCGCAAGUCUGAUCCAGCCAUGCCGCGUGCGGGAAGAAGGCCUUCGGGUUGUAAACCGCUUUUGUCAGGGAAGAAAUCUUCUGAGUUAAUACCUCGGGAGGAUGACGGUACCUGAAGAAUAAGCACCGGCUAACUACGUGCCAGCAGCCGCGGUAAUACGUAGGGUGCAAGCGUUAAUCGGAAUUACUGGGCGUAAAGCGUGCGCAGGCGGUUUUGUAAGACAGAGGUGAAAUCCCCGGGCUCAACCUGGGAACUGCCUUUGUGACUGCAAGGCUUGAGUGCGGCAGAGGGGGAUGGAAUUCCGCGUGUAGCAGUGAAAUGCGUAGAUAUGCGGAGGAACACCGAUGGCGAAGGCAAUCCCCUGGGCCUGCACUGACGCUCAUGCACGAAAGCGUGGGGAGCAAACAGGAUUAGAUACCCUGGUAGUCCACGCCCUAAACGAUGUCAACUGGUUGUUGGGGAAGGUUCCUUCUCAGUAACGGAGCUAACGCGUGAAGUUGACCGCCUGGGGAGUACGGCCGCAAGGUUGAAACUCAAAUGAAUUGACGGGGUCAUAGCUGUUUCC